GCCAAGAUUCUGAAAUCACCACUUGGAGGAGAACAGCCUACAGAUCAUGAGAAUUCAUUUUGGACUUCCCAUGAAUGAGAAACCUUUCUAUAUUAAGACAGUGGGAUUUGGAGGUUCAUCAGAUACCUCCACACGCACCAACAGAGAAUAAAUGGACGAGAUGCCUACUAACUACUGGAGGGCGUUUUCUUGCAAACAAAACCAAACCCGGUCGCCAGACAGAUAGUUGCAUCUAGGCCUGGAGGAAAGGACCCUGCAGCCCCCAGAGACCCUGAACUUCAGGCUGGACAAGGGAACUAGAAUGAAAGACCAGGAGACAGAAGUCACAUGUUGAGAACAGCAGAGCAACGAGACAGAAGGGCGGCAGGGUUGAUCGCCGCCCCACCCCCAACUCUGGGCAGCCAGAGCACACAUGCAUGGCCCACCUGGAUUCCCAUCUGAAAGAGAAUCCAGCUUUUACUGUGUAAGCCACUGUAUUUAGUAACCUUUAGUUACAGUUACCCUACCCACUGCUUUAACCCUUAUAUUCCCCCUCCUGUUAAUUCUCUGGAAUGGCAUUUGGGUACAGGGGAGACGGGGCUUCUAAUGUGGUAAAGGUGAAGGAGGGGGGCCUGAGUUCCCGAGCACAGGUCCUUGGACCACUCAGCAGCUCCUCUGAGUUCUGUAACAAUGCUUCUUGUUGACCUGGUCACAGGGCAAGCGUCUUGCUGACAUGCUGACAUUUGUUGCCUACAUCUGUACCUAAGAAAGUCAAGAUUUCUCCUGACUCCCUUGGAGUCCAGUGGUCCUUUCAAUGGACUCUUCUCCACUUGGGAUCUACAGGUGCUCUGAACUACCUUGAGGCCUAUCUGCAACUCCCAUGGGCUCCCAGCCUGGGUGACAACCUGGUCCUCACAUAUAGGGUUCAAUUUUCCUUCUCAAGGGUAUUCAGGAAAUUCUGGACAUCUUGCAUACCGAUGAAUGCCAAGAAAGACUCUGGCCAGCCUAAUGCUGCCCUUCUCUCUGCCUAAAGAGGCAGAAGCUUUGCUCCGGGGCAGGUACCUGGUGAGGUUCCCCUUUCCAGAAUCUCAAACUGAAACAGGGUCAGAAGCCUCUCUUCUGCUUUCGAUGCUUUGGAUAUUUCCCUCAAUUGACCUGUUUGCAACUUUGGGACAGGUGGGACACACAUCUCUCACCAACUGCUUCUCUUAUUCUCACCUUUCUCUUCCUUCUACAGUCCUUAGCCAAGGAAGUGGGGGGAGGGGGGCUCAGCUAUUUUUCCCCACUUCCUCCUGGUAGUAGUUCUCCCUGUGUAGAUGUUUAUGAUCAAGUUCACCAGGUGGGCCCUUGAUUUAUUAAAGGCAGUAUUCAGGAUAAAACUAUUUCUUUUAUUUCCUCCACAAAGACUAGCAUCGGAGACUGGUCUUGCUAAGGGGAUGAGAGAAAUCAGGGUGGAGACUCACAGUUUUUCAGUUUUUUGGGCCUCUCUGUCCCAAAUGUUUCCUGCUCCUCUUUCUCUGGGAGACAAGCUUCAUGGCUCAGCCCUGGAGGAGAGAAGCUGAAAUAGUGUGAUAUAUGGGAAAAUAAAGAUA